rnacentral:rRNA from 1 species
CGGCGAUGUCCGAAUGGGGAAACCCAGUGCAAUUCGUUGCACUAUCGUUAACUGAAUACAUAGGUUAACGAGGCGAACCGGGGGAACUGAAACAUCUAAGUACCCCGAGGAAAAGAAAUCAACCGAGAUUCCCCCAGUAGCGGCGAGCGAACGGGGAGCAGCCCAGAGUCUGAAUCAGCUUGUGUGUUAGUGGAACGGUCUGGAAAGUCCGACGGUACAGGGUGAUAGUCCCGUACACCAAAAUGCACAGGCUGUGAACUCGAAGAGUAGGGCGGGACACGUGGUAUCCUGUCUGAAUAUGGGGGGACCAUCCUCCAAGGCUAAAUACUCCUGACUGACCGAUAGUGAACCAGUACCGUGAGGGAAAGGCGAAAAGAACCCCGGCGAGGGGAGUGAAAAAGAACCUGAAACCGUGUACGUACAAGCAGUGGGAGCACCUUCGGGUGUGACUGCGUACCUUUUGUAUAAUGGGUCAGCGACUUAUAUUCUGUAGCAAGGUUAACCGUAUAGGGGAGCCGCAGGGAAACCGAGUCUUAACUGGGCGUUAAGUUGCAGGGUAUAGACCCGAAACCCGGUGAUCUAGCCAUGGGCAGGUUGAAGGUUGGGUAACACUAACUGGAGGACCGAACCGACUAAUGUUGAAAAAUUAGCGGAUGACUUGUGGCUGGGGGUGAAAGGCCAAUCAAACCGGGAGAUAGCUGGUUCUCCCCGAAAGCUAUUUAGGUAGCGCCUCGUGAAUUCAUCUUCGGGGGUAGAGCACUGUUUCGGCUAGGGGGUCAUCCCGACUUACCAACCCGAUGCAAACUACGAAUACCGAAGAAUGUUAUCACGGGAGACACACGGCGGGUGCUAACGUCCGUCGUGAAGAGGGAAACAACCCAGACCGCCAGCUAAGGUCCCAAAGUCAUGGUUAAGUGGGAAACGAUGUGGGAAGGCACAGACAGCCAGGAUGUUGGCUUAGAAGCAGCCAUCAUUUAAAGAAAGCGUAAUAGCUCACUGGUCGAGUCGGCCUGCGCGGAAGAUGUAACGGGGCUAAACCAUGCACCGAAGCUGCGGCAGCGACACUAUGUGUUGUUGGGUAGGGGAGCGUUCUGUAAGCCUGCGAAGGUGACCUGUGAGGGUUGCUGGAGGUAUCAGAAGUGCGAAUGCUGACAUAAGUAACGAUAAAGCGGGUGAAAAGCCCGCUCGCCGGAAGACCAAGGGUUCCUGUCCAACGUUAAUCGGGGCAGGGUGAGUCGACCCCUAAGGCGAGGCCGAAAGGCGUAGUCGAUGGGAAACAGGUUAAUAUUCCUGUACUUGGUGUUACUGCGAAGGGGGGACGGAGAAGGCUAUGUUAGCCGGGCGACGGUUGUCCCGGUUUAAGCAUGUAGGCUGGUUAUCCAGGCAAAUCCGGAUAAUCAAGGCUGAGGUGUGAUGACGAGGCACUACGGUGCUGAAGUAACAAAUGCCCUGCUUCCAGGAAAAGCCUCUAAGCAUCAGGUAACAUCAAAUCGUACCCCAAACCGACACAGGUGGUCAGGUAGAGAAUACCAAGGCGCUUGAGAGAACUCGGGUGAAGGAACUAGGCAAAAUGGUGCCGUAACUUCGGGAGAAGGCACGCUGGUGUGUAGGUGAAGUCCCUGCGGAUGGAGCUGAGACCAGUCGAAGAUACCAGCUGGCUGCAACUGUUUAUUAAAAACACAGCACUGUGCAAACACGAAAGUGGACGUAUACGGUGUGACGCCUGCCCGGUGCCGGAAGGUUAAUUGAUGGGGUUAUCCGUAAGGAGAAGCUCUUGAUCGAAGCCCCGGUAAACGGCGGCCGUAACUAUAACGGUCCUAAGGUAGCGAAAUUCCUUGUCGGGUAAGUUCCGACCUGCACGAAUGGCGUAAUGAUGGCCAGGCUGUCUCCACCCGAGACUCAGUGAAAUUGAACUCGCUGUGAAGAUGCAGUGUACCCGCGGCAAGACGGAAAGACCCCGUGAACCUUUACUAUAGCUUGACACUGAACAUUGAGCCUUGAUGUGUAGGAUAGGUGGGAGGCUUUGAAGCGUGGACGCCAGUCUGCGUGGAGCCAACCUUGAAAUACCACCCUUUAAUGUUUGAUGUUCUAACGUUGGCCCCUGACCGGGGUUGCGGACAGUGUCUGGUGGGUAGUUUGACUGGGGCGGUCUCCUCCCAAAGCGUAACGGAGGAGCACGAAGGUUAGCUAAUCCUGGUCGGACAUCAGGAGGUUAGUGCAAUGGCAUAAGCUAGCUUGACUGCGAGCGUGACGGCGCGAGCAGGUGCGAAAGCAGGUCAUAGUGAUCCGGUGGUUCUGAAUGGAAGGGCCAUCGCUCAACGGAUAAAAGGUACUCCGGGGAUAACAGGCUGAUACCGCCCAAGAGUUCAUAUCGACGGCGGUGUUUGGCACCUCGAUGUCGGCUCAUCACAUCCUGGGGCUGAAGUAGGUCCCAAGGGUAUGGCUGUUCGCCAUUUAAAGUGGUACGCGAGCUGGGUUUAGAACGUCGUGAGACAGUUCGGUCCCUAUCUGCCGUGGGCGCUGGAGAAUUGAGGGGGGCUGCUCCUAGUACGAGAGGACCGGAGUGGACGCAUCACUGGUGUUCGGGUUGUCAUGCCAAUGGCACUGCCCGGUAGCUAAAUGCGGAAGAGAUAAGUGCUGAAAGCAUCUAAGCACGAAACUUGCCCCGAGAUGAGUUCUCCCUGAGACUUUAAGUCUCCUGAAGGAACGUUAAAGACGAUGACGUUGAUAGGCCGGGUGUGUAAGCGCAGCGAUGCGUUGAGCUAACCGGUACUAAUGAACCGUGAGGCUUAACCUU